rnacentral:rRNA from 1 species
GACGAACCGUGCGAACGUUGUUCGGAAUCACUGGGCUUAAAGGGCGCGUAGGCGGGCUAUCAAGUCCGGGGUGAAAUCCUCCAGCUCAACUGGAGAACGGCCUCGGAUACUGAUGGUCUCGAGGGGGAUAGGGGCACACGGAACUGUGGGUGGAGCGGUGAAAUGCGUUGAUAUCCAUAGGAACUCCGGUGGCGAAAGCGGUGUGCUGGAUCCCUUCUGACGCUGAGGCGCGAAAGCCAGGGGAGCCGGAAACGGGAUUAGAAACCCCGGGAUAG